GGAAUUGGCAGACAGAGUCGAGCUCCCCCUCGCUCAGGUCUCCAUAGGCGCGGAAGUGGAAGGACAAUUCCCCAAAUUCCACCCGGAUCCUGCUUGGCCCCGCGCGCCCUGGGGAGGAACCAGGCAUGUAUCCCGAUCCCGAUCCUGAUCCCGAGGCAUGACGGGACCUCUCUGGAGCCUCCGGAGUUCCCGUUUCACCAGCGCCGAUUCCCAGCCCAUGGAAUCGCUGAGCUCCACCAUGUCGAAUUCCAAGGAUCCGGAAUUCCGGUGGUCCCGCCUCGCCAGCUGCUCCUGCGCCAGGAAAACGGCCACGGGAGAGCAACUGAGGGGAAAAACCCCAAAAUUGGGAAAAACCCCACCGGGAAUCGGGUUUUCCUGGGAAUUCCCAGGUUAAAAAAUCCAGGAAAAAUCCCAUUGGAGCUGGGGGGAAUCAGGUUUUCCUGGGAAUUCCCGGGUAAAAAAAUGCAGGAAAAAUCCCAUUGAAGCUGGGGGGGAAUCGGGUUUUCCCGGGAAUUCCGGGGUUAAAAAAUCCAGGAAAAAUCCCAUUGGAGCUGGGGGGGAAUCGGGUUUUCCUGGGAAUUCCCAGGUUAAAAAAUCCAGGAAAAAUCGGGUUUUCCUGGGAAUUCCUGGGUUAAAAAAUCCAGAAAAAAUCCCACCAAAGCUGAGGGGGAAUCGGGUUUUCCCGGGAAUUCCAGGGUAAAAAAUCCAGGAAAAAUCGGGUUUUCCUGGGAAUUCCCAGGUAAAAAAAAUGCAGGAAAAAUCCCAUUGGAGCUGGGGGGAAUGGGGUUUUCCCGGGAAUUCCUGGUUUUUCCCACCUCCGAGCCGCCUCCCGGAGCUGCCGGGCGCCUCCGGAGCAGCAGAUCCGGCACUGGGAAUGGGUGGGAAGCAGCAGCUCCAGCCAGUGCCGGGGGUGCAGCUCCAGGUAGCACAGGAGGGUCUCGAUCCCUGCAGGAAGAGAGAUCCAAGGAAUUCCAAUCCCAAAAAAUCCCGUCGGGAAUCCAGGAAUUUCACACACCCCCCCGGAGCCAGGGUGGGAUCUGUAGGGGAUUCCCCCCCCCCUCAAUCCCGAUCCCGAGGGAUUCCAAUCUUGAUCCCAAUCCCAAUUCCAAUCCUGAGGGAUUCCAAUCCCAAUCCCAAUCCUGAGGGAUUCCAAUCGCGAUCCCAACCCCAAUCCCAACCCCAAUCCCAAUCAGAUUGCUAUCCCAAUCCCGAGGGAUUCCCGUCCCAAUCCCAAUCCCGAUUCCAAUCCCAAUCCCAAUAGAUUCUGAUUCCAAUCCCAAUCCCAAUCCUGAGGGAUUCCAAUCCCAAUCCCAACCCUGAGGGAUCCCAAUCCCAACCCCAAUCCUUAGGGAUUCCAACCCCAAUCCCAACCCUAGUCCCAAUCCCAACCAGAUCUCAAUCCCAAUCCCAAUCGAUUCCGAUUCAAAUUCAAAUCCCAAUCCCGAGGCAUCCCAAUCCUGAGGGAUUCCAACCCCAACCCCGAUCAUGAGGCAUUCCAACCCCUGUACAUUGUACAGGCCUAUAAAACAACAACAAUCUAUGAAAUGCAUUUACAGAACAACAAUAAAGCAACAACAUAUAAACCA